GUUUGUUUUCCUCCUUGCAAAAUUCCUUGGAAUAACGCCCUUCGCCUUUUCCUCUUCGUCCUGCUUGCUGACUCAGGUCGAAGGCAUCUGACUUCAGGGCAGUUCUUUCAUGGGGUGUUUUGUGCUUUUCCAGAUGUGCAGGAGCUCUGGGACCAUAACUGGGAUGGAGAUGAGUGUGAUGAGUGGUGUGGUGCUCAACUCUGGUUCUGCCAGAAAGGGAGAGGGGAUGAGGCUUUGGUGUGGCACAGAGGACCCUCACAUUCCAUCCAGGCACAGCUGAUGACACCCCUCGGGAGCUGGGACAGCUGCCAGCUGGUGGUGGAUUCUGACUGGACUAAUCUUGGCACCAGUCUUCUCCUUUGGGAAAUGCCCCUGGGAACAGGCCAGAAGGAGUUGAUGACAUUGCUCUGCCCAGAGGCUGCUGAAGCAGGGGAAGUCUGUGAUUAGACUUCAACAGGCUUUGGAUCAAGUCUCUUCUGAGGAGACGGUGUCAACGUGCUGCUAUUUCCUGAAAAUCAGCCUGGCCUGGAGCAGGGAUCACAUCCAGGGGGCUCUAAUCAGUCCUGCUGGCCUCUUAGUGGGACCCAGCCCACGAGCUCUGUGAUUACAGGGGAUACCAAAGGCCCACGCAAGGCCUGGACAGUUCCUGCUGUUUAUGUUAAGCAUUGCUCAGAGUAUGAGCCUGGUGAAAGUAGCGCCAGUGGUGGAGGAGAGAAGAACCUGAGCCUCUCCACGUGGAAUGUUACUUCAUUUUCCAGCUGCUUCCUACUCAAGGAAAUAUUGUUUGCAGAUGGUGCAGUCACAAAACCAUCAUGUACCACUCUGUUAUUAUCCAGAUGGAUUUACUGCUGCUGGGGAACCUUUCUGCUGUCUCGUUUUGGGAGCAAGGUUCACGCAUGGAAUGGUUCUGCUCAGGAUCCAUCCAGUGCCAAGCAUGUAAAAACUCCACACCCAUAACCCUGACAGACUGGCUUGCUGCUGUUUCCUUUAAAUCCCAGCCUGAGCUUGGCAGGAUGGACAGAAAGCCUGGAGAUCUUGAGGCCUUUUGGGGUUAGAUAAGGAGAGACUCUGUUCCUGGCAGGAAAAGCAGAUGCCAUGGUGGAUAUCUGCCUUGGUGUGAGGUUGUACCCUCUGUCCCACCUCACCUCUCACAGGAGAUGGAAAAAUGCUCAGCAUCCCAGCAGGAGGGUGACUUCUGCAGGUGCCUCUGACUUCUUUGCUCACCCACUGGCAUGAGUUGUUUCAUGCACUUGCCAAAAAACUUGGAAGAAACUAUAAAGGAUGUAAUGCCACGAGGCAGACCAGAGCUCCCUGGAAAUCCUGGGAAAGGGCCUCUCCAUCCCGUAGUGUGAAUGAUGCCCACAUCUGGCUGUGACUUCCCUUGAAGAUGCCCAUUUUCAGCUCCUAUCAGUCUGCCCUGAAAGCUGGGCAGCUCCAAAACACCACCCUGAAACCAGCUGGGAAAAGCCUCACAGGGUCUGGUAACUCCUUUAUCUGAACACCUCACAGCGGCUGUGCACUGAGGCUGGGAGAAGGACACAGAUUUCUUCUCCUUAAGGCUGUGCAGAAGUUCAGAAGACCGAUGCAGAUCCUCUUGGAUCCCCUUGCCCUUUCCUCUGCAACUCUCUAGAAGAAACCCAGGGAUCUGGUGACACUGAGUGACCUUUCAGAGAAGGGCAAUAAUCCCUCUGGAACCCUGGGCCAGUCCAUUCCCUCGUUAGGGCAAUGAAGCUUUUACCUCUCCUGCAGCAAUGAUGCAUUUUUAAAGCGUCUCACACCUACUUUAAAUCCCUGUGGAGGCCAUGAAACUCCUUUGGCCGUGGCCACAUGGUAUCUAUUGUUAAGCAGACUGUUAAAAUUAAUCAACCCAGAUUAAGCAGCCAAAAUUAUCACUCUGCUGAAUCUCUUCCCUCAGAGACAGCCCCUUAAAGAGGCUGAGCGCUGAUUAAAAGUCCGAAAAAUCCUGGCAGGAGUUGCCUGUAGAAAGCAUGGAAAAAAUAAAAUGUGUGGGGUGUGAAAGGCUCUGUGUGCUGGUCUGCUUGAAUCCAAACUGUCCCUGGCUGCAAACCCCUUCAUCAGCAAACCCCCCCUCUGCCUGAGGAGAGCUUCUGUAUCCCAAAUUCCGCUGCUCUCUCCCCAGGGGUGUUAUCCUGUGAGCUCAUUAUUGCUGCUGGCUCUAAGUCACACCCCAAUACACAGAGCUAUCAGCAGCAGAGAUUAAAAAACAAAAUAAUUUGGUAAAUAGCCAUGAUUUGCCUCAGAGUUUAGGCUGGAGGUUUAAACUCCUCCUUUGAGGAUAUCCUGCUGCAUCCAGGGCAGGAGAAUGGGAAGGACACCCAAGCCCGUGUGCCUUCAGUGCACUUGUUGGA